GCGCCGGACGGCCGGGAGGUGUCCGUGGCCGCCGCCGUCGAGGCGGCGCGGGCCGGCACGCGGAUGUUCGGGCCGGCGCCGGUGCC
rnacentral:tRNA from 1 species